GUAAUGUCACCUGCACGGCUUCCGCGUGCCUCGGACUUAGCAGCAGAGGUUGCUCGGGCACCACCUGCCUCUAUGGGGUGACCUACGGCGACGGAUCCUCCACCGUCGGAUUUCUCGCCACGGAUACUUUCAAGCUGACCUCCACCAGCGUGUUCAACAACUUCAUAUUUGGGUGCGGCCAGAGCAAUGGGGGACUCUUCCGGGGGGCCGCCGGGCUGAUCGGGCUCGGACGCAGCCCCUACUCGCUGAACUCGCAGGCGGCCAGCAGGCUGGGCAAUAUCUUCUCCUACUGUCUCCCUUCCACAAGCAGCUCCACCGGCUACCUCAACAUCGGCAAUCCGUUAAAAACUACAGUUGCUUACACGCCGCUGCUGACCGAUUCACGCGCGCCUACCCUCUACUUCAUUGACCUCAUUGGAAUUACCGUAGGGGGAACACCGCUUCAAUUGUCGCCGACCGUCUUUCAAUCCGUCGGGACAAUCAUCGACUCCGGGACUGUGAUCACCCGCCUACCCCCUACGGCGUACAGCGCACUUCGGACGGCCUUCCGCGCCGCCAUGACACGGUACCCAACGGCUCCGGCGGCUAGUAUACUAGACACUUGUUAUGACUUGCGUAACGCGGCGACCGUGACGUAUCCCCAGAUCAAGUUAUUAUACAGAGGUAUCGAGGUCACGCUUCCAUCGACCGGGGUGUUCUACGUCAUCAGCUCCGCACAGGUCUGCCUGGCGUUCGCCGGGAACUCGGACUCCACCCAGAUCGGCAUCAUUGGCAACGUUCAGCAGAGGUCGUUUGAGGUGACCCAUGACAAUGUUGCGAAAAGGAUCGGGUUCUCAGCCGGGGCUUGCAGCUGAUUCCCCGCGGAGCGCCUUGGUUGUUUCCGAAGUCUGGAAAAAAGAUCGGAUUGCUUUCUUUGAUGCACUGAAAUGGAUUGAAUCUGUGGCUUUUCUUGUGGAUAUUCUCUUUGUGAGCGGCGAUAUAUUUGAAUAAGUCUGUCAUAGCAUAUAUUCUGCGUCACCGAUGGCCACUCUUUCGAUAUCGUCUUGCAUUUGGUGCAAUUGAGUUGGGGCUGUUAGCCUCUUCGACAGGUAAGACAAACCCCCCUCGGUUGUGGAUGAGGGAUGCAGGGGGACGACCGGGGGGCAUGAUGUACCUUUAUAUGAACAGCUGAGAAAGGAAGGAGGGACGUGCGUUUGCUAGAGGAAGAAACCGCUAGUUCUUCGUGAAGUUGGUGAGGUUAUCAACUGAACAGAUCUUCGGUUGACCCCCAGGAUUUUUUCUGACCCACCCAACGUUAUUGAGUAUUCCUUGAAUUAUCAUUCAACUCGUCUAACAUUAAAAUGGGUUUAGCCUUUAGAUCAUCGCAAAAACAGCGGCUAAGCCGAUGAAGAGCGACCUUUGGAUCAAUCAGCAGACUGGUAGCUAAACUUCCCACUAUAACCGCUUGUAAGUUAUGUUUCCUUCUAAAUAAAACUUUUAAUCAGGAGUCAUUCGUAUUGUAAUAAAAAAUAAUAAAGAUGUUCACAAUGAAAUAGAUACUAAACAACGACCAUGCCACUGGGUUUAGCUUCAUGAACUGGGCUAAGGUCUGAUCCAUGGAGAGCUGUGAACAGCCCAAAACCAUCCUGAUCUAGCUGACCGGAAUGUAAAGGCUUUUUAAAGCUUCACGAAGAAUGCGACGCGUCAAGUUUUCUGGGACUUAUUGGAUCGGCAGGGCCGCUCGUAUGCAAGUGUCUUUCCCUACGUAAACGGUUCCCACCUUCCACCCCUGCACCUCCGGAAUCGAUUUGCCCAAAACUCUUCGUUGAAAAUUGGCAAGAUUGGCAUUCUAAUAGUUGACGGAUGCCAUUUGAUAGAAAUUUUCCUUAGACUUUCUGGAACUUCCAAGGCUAUUAGUCUUGGGGUACACCAUAAAGAUGACAUGAGCUAGACCUAGCAUAUUGACACGUAUUAUUGGAUUGUGAGAAAAGUAUGGGAAUGCAAAUUGAAGAAUUCGUCUCAUUUCAUUAUGUCAAACGUUCUAUGAUAUGAUUUAAAGUUUCUGUGUGAAAUUUUUUACUAAAUAAAGUUUAAUUAUCAAUAUGAUUUGAGCAGCUGUGGGUUUUUCUGAUCUGUAAAUGAUGUUAUAAAUGUAAUAGAAGGAAUUAUAUGCUACAUUUGAAAUACUAGGUCUUUUUUAAGGCCUUAUUUAUUUUUGAGCACUUUAUUAAAAUAUUUAUUAUAUAAUAGAAUAUGCUACGAGCAAGUCAUACAAUUCAGUUAUGUCGCUGCCAUGUACGUAGAUGUUAGACUUGAAAUGAAUUAGUUUCUAUGUCAAAAAUCUACAAACAUAGAAGCCUAAAGCUAAACUACAUUCAAUUCAAUGUGGAUCUAACCUGUGGUGCAUUGAGGUUUUAGGGCAGCAUUAAUCUAAUGCCUUGAUUAAAUAGUGGAAUAAGAAGCACAAGACACAAUAUUCUUUAGAAGAAUAAGGUUUGAAUGGCAUGGAUUGAAUUUUGGUGAAAAAAACUUAAAACACCUUAUAAUGGCUAUCGAAAGGAGAGGCUACGUUCCAGUACAAUUGAGAACACAAGAUAUCUAAGAAUAAAAGAAAAUUAACUCGUAACGGAGCCACAAAAGGGGGAGAUGCAAGAUCCCAAAUUUUUGCUAUUGGAGAGAAAGGGUUUACGUGUUCAUUCUUCUCUCCAACGAUCCCUCUUAUUUAAUAAUCUCUCGCACAAAGGGGGCUUCUCCGGACCCGUUUUUGAUAUAUGAAAUAAAACAAACGAGAAAGGGGAGACGUCCCAGAAAACUUCUCCCAGUUAAUUGACAAGGUCAACCUAACAGAUGUUAUGUACUUUUAUAUCAUUUCAUUUCAAAAAAAUUGCUGCAGGUCAAAUCACCAUUUGUUAGACUAAUGGCACAUUUAAAUGAGGGAAGUAAAGAGUUGAUAACAGUCAGUGAUGAUGCAUUGGAUUGCUGAUCAUUAUUAUUUUUUCUGGAGGGAGAGUUUGAAGUGUUAGCAUUACUACCAUAACUUCAUCACAAACUUUUAAGACUAGUUCGAAUUUAGAUAGAGUGACCGCGUUGAAAGUCAUUGUAACGUGGUACGCAAAUACGCUUAGUGAUUUCUCAUUUCACAUAUGUUAUGCUCUGUGGAAAAUCCAUGCAAUCAGAAUAACUAGACCAACCGAAUUGAUUAAUCCAGCCGUUCAACAGACACAAGGACGUCUUCCCAAGGAUGUUGGCCGUCGUUAAUGGACUAGAGAUAAUUAAUGCGUUUGUCUCAGACACCCGGUCACAAAAGAUAAAUAGUGGCUAUAGAACUUCGGUUUUUUCUCACUUUCUCUGAUGUUUUCUUCCUCAUCUUUAACUCGUUUUAGUUUCAGGACAUACGGAUGCGAGAUAAGUUUAACGAUUUUUCAUCAUCGUUUCACUAGACGAUAUUAGGGCUCUCUGAUUAUUUCUCUUCUCAUGAUGAGUGGGGUGUCAGGGUGCGGUUCGUCCGUUGUCCGUUGAAUCUACUCUGUGAACCCAACUGGAGGCAGGAAGGCAUGCUUUCGGAAUCUUCCUCUACGGAGCGGAGAUGCACGCAUCCAUUUUGGUUUAUACUUUCUUCUGUAUUAUACUGUAGCGUCUUUCAAUCUGAUUUAGUAAAUUUCUGAAGUUUUUUCUUCUAUCAGCCCGAUUAAAUGGUUUUUUUUCAUUUUUUUAUGUUUGUAGAUUCUUAUGAAAAGGAAUCUAGAACGUCCCAUGAACGGCGUAAAAUAUUAUCUCCUCUUCACUGUGUUGAUUCGUCUUGUAUUUUGGAUAUUCUCGUAGCUUAAUUGGUUCAUAGAUUCAUGCCAAGAGAGGGGAUCUAGACGUUAGGCGACUAACUGACCUCAUCGUGCGUUCGUACCUUUCCCGCAACAUUUUCUACAAAAGGCACAAAGCGUCUGGAGCCCUAACAGAUUUAUAGAAUCUCUCAUGUGCACCGGUGACAUCGGAAAUUCAAGGACUUAUUUACUUCAAGGGAUGUCUCGACCUACUGGCUUUGUAGGUUUGAAGAACUAGCCCGAAACUGCCAUGUCAUUUUCGCCCAUACAGCCAUGGAAUCGUCAUAUUUGCGAGAUCAUUCACGCCGGUACGUUGCUCUGGCCUUGGAAAGUUGUCUGCACGAAGCAGGCCUAUAAAAAGCGUGUCUCGACCCGGGGUCUACACUAAGCCAUACCACAGCAAUGGUGGCGUGUGAGACCCUGAUGUUCUCUUUUGGCACGCAGGCCCAUGGGGAGAGAAACUUAGCAGCCGUCAAAGUUAGGGGCCUGGCGCCGUCCGCCAGUUGAUCCCCUCAACCAGCUUCCGCCGGAGGCCGGUAGGAUUUAAAAAAAAACUGUCAUAUGCGUCGGCGACGCUGGAAAUUCAAGGACAUUUAAAAAAAUGUCUCGAUCCACUGCUUGCAAGUUUGAGGAAUUAGGCCAGAAACGGCCUUGUCGCUUUCACUACGUCCAUGCCGUCAAUAGGAAAUGGGUAAUUUUGGGGAUAAUUCACGCCGGUACGUUGUUUUGACCUCAGCAGGAAGAAAGCCUAUAAAGAUCGUUUUCUCCCCACAGGAUGGACCCACAACCAUACUACAGCAAUGACAGCGUGUGCAUCCCUCUUGUCCUCCGUCCUGUUCUGUCUGAUCCUGUUCUCCUUUGGCGGUCAAGCCGACGGGGAGAGCACCUUCCUCACCGUUGAGGUUACGAGCUUCGUACCCUCCGCCGAUUGCUCCCCGUCCAAAGGUUGUGAGUCUUUUUCGGCUGGUCUAAUCACACUGAUAAUCAUAUCGAAAGUUAUAACUAUGCAUAUUGAUCAAUACUAAUGAAUCAAAUAAUGAAAAGUCUCGGUACUAGUCUGACAUAUCGAUCUCUUGCAGUACCCAGCCACAGCUCCCUCCAAGUCGUCCAACGCAACGGUCCUUGCGCAACCAAGUCUGUCAGCGAACCCAGCCACCUUCAAGCUCUCGCUCUGGAUUCCCUGCGAGUUGCUUCAUUGCAGGAAAUAGCUUCCGGCGUCUCCCGUGGUAACGAUACAUUGCUCCUUGGAAGCCAGAUCUCCAUCCCCGCAUGGAGUGGCCUGUACCUAGGCACCGGCAAUUACGUCAUUACAGUAGGGUUUGGCACCCCAGCGAGGACCCAGACCGUCAUCUUCGAUACCGGCAGCAACGUAAACUGGAUCCAGUGCGAGCCUUGCGCUGUAAGCUGCUACCCGCAGCAAGAACCGUUGUUCGAUCCGGGACUCUCAUCAACCUACCGUACUGUCUCCUGUACGGCGCGCGAAUGCCUCAGACUAACCAGCAGUAGUUGCGCGGGCACCAGCUGCGUUUAUGGGAUGAAAUAUUUUGACGGAUCCGCCACCGUUGGAUACCUCGCCACGGAUACUUUCACACUGACGUCCACCAACGCGCUCAGCAACUUCAUAUUUGGGUGCGGCCAGAACAACACAGGGCUAUUUAAGGGGGCCACCGGUCUAAUCGGGCUUGGACGCAGCCCCUACUCGCUGAAUUCACAGGCGGCCAGCAGCCUGGGUAAUGUCUUCUCCUAUUGUCUCCCUUCCACAGGCGGCUCCACCGGCUAUCUCAACAUCGGCAAUCCGUUGGGAACUACCGUUUUUUACACGCCGAUGCUGACCAGUUCACGCGCUCCUACCCUCUACUUUAUUGAUCUCAUUGGAAUUGCCGUAGGGGGGACACAGCUUCCAUUGUCACCGACCGUCUUUCAAUCUGUAGGGACAAUCAUAGACUCCGGGACGGUGAUCACCCGCCUACCCCCUGCGGCGUACAGUGCACUUCGGGCGGCCUUCCGCGCCGCCAUGACGCGGUACCUCCUGGCUCCGGCGACUAGUAUACUGGACACCUGCUAUGACUUCCGUGACGUGGAGACCGUGACAUAUCCGGAGAUCAGGCUCCUGUACACCGGUCUCGAGGUCCCGCUUCCGGCGACAGGGGUGUUCUACGUCAUCAGCUCUGAACAGAUCUGCCUAGCGUUCGCCGGGAACUCGGAUUCCAUCCAGGUCGGCAUCGUUGGCAACGUUCAGCAAAGGACGUUCGAGUUGACCUACGACAAUAGUGCGGAAAGGAUCGGGUUCUCAGCUGGGGCAUGCAGCUGAUUUGCCGCGGAGCGUCAAGGGGGUCUUUGAAGUUCAAAAUAAGUUCCACAUCGUCUUAUAUCAUGCACUGAAGCUGCGUGAAUUUGCGUCUUUUUCUCAUAGUUGUGCUCUUUCUGUACGGGGUAUAUAUCUGACUAAGUUGGUUUUAGAACAUAUUAUGAGUCAUCGAUGACUGUACUAUCGAGUUCAUUCUUGAUUGAAUGACAUUUAUAUUAGCUGAGUGAACGUGGUAGACGAAAUAAAUUCUGGAAUGGAUUUUGCUGCCGGCAGGUAGAGCGCAAAAGCAGAGUUGGGGAACAGAAUGGAUGUGAUAUUUACGUCGCAGUGCCUGCUUAGCAUAAGAGACGGGCAAGCAACCAGAUAUCGGAAGAACGACAACCUUUAAAUCAGUGAGAUAACGCUUGAACGGUACAUUACUGUUCAACUGUAACGAUUCUCAAUCCCUUUUUCCAUGAACAUAGUUUACAUUUACAUUUAAUUUACGAUCCCGGUUGCUCUGUUCAGUGGCCCUCUCCAGUAGAUCUCGGCUGAAUAGAGGAUAUUUGGCUUUGCUUAUGGAACUAAAGUAAGGUUGAUCCAUGUGAAGAUUAAGCUUCGACAAGUUAUGCCCAAACCUACGGCUUAACAAAGGUACUAGGCCUUUCUGUCAUUGGGCCAAAACUUCCACUCUACUGUCGAGCGGUUUUCUGCCCACAACGGUCAUCCAGUCUGGGCCACAACGGACCGCGGUUCCUCCAGUUCACUUGAUACGAUACCCGAUCCGCCACUCCACUGUGAAUCAUUUCCUGAUCCGCCUCCCAUUGGCGCGGAUCCACUCCACGAUCCCGGAUCCGAAAGCUUCUGGUGUGACACUUUUCCAACGGAAUUAAUGGGCCGUGCUCUCCCAAGUGGGAGCCCCUCCCGCUUAGAAAAAUAGUUUUCACCUUCCAGCUGCCAUCUCUGUAUUUUAUAAUCGGCAGUGAUGAUCUAAGAAAAGAUUUCAGGUCUUUCGUCCCAUAAAAAAUUUUGAUUCUUAGGCUUGGAAGAUUAUCAGCCUUGGGAUGCAAAAAUAAACGUGCAUUUCCCCACUAGUUUGGCAUUUUUUUGGGAUGUUGUGUCAAAGGAAGAGAAGACUGUCCAUAGUCAACAACCGUAUUAUUUUUGUUUUAAAGAACUGUUAUUUUUAUUACACUUUCAGAUAUCUAAUAUAUAUAUAUAUAUUAGGUCUGAUUAUCUUCAUUAGCCAAUGAGGAUAUUUCACAAACAUUGUAGCCAUUUUGGUUAUCUUAAAAAAGUUGAAAUGAAAGUGUUAGAAAGACGAUGAAUGAUAGGUGUAGGCUACACCAAUCAUGAUCAAUUGAUCAUCAGAUCGAUGAUCAUGAUCAAUCGAUCACUGAUGAUGAUCAGUGUUAAUGGUCAUGAUCACAAUCACGAUACGAGUCCUUGAUCGAUCGUCGAUCAAUCGACAGAUUGUUAUCCUACAGUUAAGCUUCUUUUGGAUGAUGAUUUUCCAUCAUCCAAUGGCUAUGAUUCAACCUAGGGGAGAGAUUAAUUAUUAUAUUAUAUCAUAAUAUAAUAAAAUUAUACUAUAAUAUAUUAUAUUGUUAUACUAUAAUAACAAUCGACAAUCAUUGACUAUAUAUUAUAUCAUCGAUCACAAUAACCGACAAUCACGAUUAGGAAUUUUGGCUGAUCAGAUCGACGAUUGAUCAUGAUGAUCAACAAACUCUAAGCGAAUGGGGUGAGACAUGGGAAACUACUUGUUAGGUAGAGAACCUCGUCAAAUACUUUUAUUGUUAAUCCUAAUAGGAGACGACAAUGGAGGGACACUUUUAUUGGCAUUACUAUGUUUUCCAUCACACUUGAGACCUCAUUGCCCUCCACAAGUUCAAUAAAGAGAUCUAGUUGUAACCAAGUAUGGAAUCGAUACUCUAGCUAGAGAGGAAAGAGAAAUCAAGCACAAAGGAUCAAUGUACCUUGCCUAAGGGCUAAUGAUCUUUUAGAGUACCAUAUAAUAAUAAGAAUGAAAUAUGGCUGAACAUAUUUUUGCAUCGCAAGCUACAAUUAGAGAUAUAACUUUUAGUAUGAGCAAUAUGUUAAGCUUGCAGACAGUCCAAUCAAAUUUUGUCUCACGGAUUGACCUCAUGACUAAAAUCAGUUUAAAAUACUAAGGAAAACCUAAUUUAUUAGUCAAGUCAGUACCAAGUCUUGUUUAUAAUCAUGCGCUUUCAACUUAUGGUGUCCGCUUACUUUAGUUUACAAGGUAAAUGGGGAAUUAUGUUGUUGAAGGAUACACUGAUCUCUCCCUUGUGAAAAAGCCUCAAAAGGAGUUGAUCUUGGACAAGAUGAAAUGACUAGAGUAACCUUAAAGAAGCAACCUAGAACAACUCUCACAUUGAGUCUAUAAGUUUUCAAAGGAGAUGAAGAUACAACUAAGUGAUUGUCCUACAAGAAUUAAAAAAAAAAUCAACAUGAUUAAAAAAUUUCUGGGGAUUAGAAUGCUCUACUAAAAAAAAAUUGAUUACCAAAAUUAAGGGGUACUCAGCCAGCUAUGACAAUAAGUUGACCUAUCUAUGUAUCAUUCAAGAGCAAAUCUAAGGGCAAUGUACUAAAUAAAUAAAAUACUCAUUCUGAAAGAAAAAGGACACAAAGCUUAUCUCAAUGUCAAAGUAGGUGUUUUUUCUAAGGAGCAGAUGUUGAUGGUGAAUCCUUAUCUAUUGAUUGUUGACUAUGUUGACUAUUGACUAGACAAUGAUAAUUGACUAUCGAAUGGGUGACCCCUAAUUAACUGACUGUUGACCGACAGUGAUGGAACUGCUUUACAAUUUGGCCCUCAAAAUUUCUCUGAGUGACUUGGGUUUUUUGUAUCCAAGUGGUUCCAAUCUAGCAAAAUCUGGACUAGUUCAAAUUGGGUAGUAAUGCCAUGGUUCAUUGUAGGUUAAUGAUGCAUUCAAUUUUAACUUGAUAAUUAAAAUCAUAAAAUAUAAUUCUGAAAUAUGUUGUAAAUCUAUGUCAAAUCCUUGUGGAUGAUUUGAUUUAUUUUUAAUUCAAAUGUCAUCUUCUACGAAGGUAAAUGAUUUUUAGAAUAAUUAAAUGAAGAUUUUUAAGAUAAAAUAUUUUUUAAAGAAAUAAAAACGUAAGUACAAAAAAAAAGGAACUAAAUGAAAAUAGAAGCUAUGAUUUCACAUGAAUCUCUAGUAUCUCGCUCAAGUUGAUGAUGUCAUGUCAAACUUGCAGGGCUGAAGAUAUACAUGUGUGCUAGAGAGAUAGAUAGAUAGAUAGAUAGAUAGAUAGAUAGAUAGAUGGAUAGAUAGAUGGAUAGAUGGAUANNNNNNNNNNNNNNNNNNNNGAGAGAGAGAGAGGGAUAACAUAUAAAUGGAUGCUUGGUUUUAGCCUCCACUAUGAUCUAGAAAAGGGGAUUGAAUUGAUAUCUUUUUCUUUUCUAAUUAUAUAUUCUUAAAAUAGAGUCCAAUCUAUAUAACAAUAUAUUUUUUUAUUCACUUCCAAUACCUCCAUUCCUAGUGGUUUCGCAAACUCUCUAUGUCAACUCUUUAAGAACAUAUCUAUUCUUAGGUUUUGUUAUCACUUUAUGUCUAAGAAUAAAUUAUGAUUAAUUAGUUUCAUUCCAUAUAAUAUUCAGCCCAAGACUCUCUUCUAGAUUCAGAACUCUAAGAAGAAAAAUUAUUGUUGAAUAGAGAGAGCUCAUUUGAAAUUUUUCUCAAAAAUUUUAUUUUAAAUUCACAACUUUAGAAAGCUCAUACCAUUGUUUCACUAAUCUAGCUCAUACUUGAAGCAUUAAACUUUAAGAUUAAAUUUAUUCCACAAAAAAUGACAAAACACAUCAUCAUAGGUCUUCUCUAAAAGUAGAGGUUUAAUUAAAAAUAGCUCCAGAGUAAUAAUGAUCGUAUAAUUUUUGAAUGCCCUUUGAUUCCUUAGUAUAUGGUAGCAAUGCAUCAGCAAAAUUUAUUUUGAUUAAAAAUGUAUUCAAAGGUCCUUAAAGAUGCUGGAUAUUAAAUACUUGAACCUAUUUUAAGAAGGUAGACGAGUGUGCAUAGAUAUUCAUUCGAAGUGUUGGUAUUUAUAAAUAAAUCAUCUAUAGAAAACCACUCAUAUCUCUCAGAUCUUCAAUGUCUAUUUUUCUUGGAAAAGUUAUAAAUUAGAAUGGGAGGAAGUUCAAUAUGAUAUUACCUAUUACCCCACAUUGUUAAAACAUAACAUUUAUAUUCAUUUUUUGAUGGUUGAAAAUGAUUUGAUAAGAAUACGAAAAACAAAAUCUUGAACAAAUGACACAUGAUUUGUUCAUACAACGAAAUUUGAUAGACAAGCUGGUAUUAAUCUACUCAAAAUCUUUUUUAUCCUCAAGUAUGUCUCUAAACAAGAUACCUGUAUGUAAUGAUAGCUAUAGAUGUGUCUAUUUAUUGGAAGGUCUUUUAAAAUAGAAAAUAUGUAGUAAGUUAUGUAAAGAACUAUGUAAUUUUUUUUUGCAAUGAGAAUUUUCUUAAUGCAUGGUUUACAUGUUUGUGUGAAAUCUGAUGAGGUUACUUUCAGUUUGUGAUGGUUGUUUCAGGCAACCAAGAAAUAUCCCAAAACUCAUCCUUUAAGAAGGAAACUUUAGCCUGUGGUCUUCAGGCUUGUUAUCGUGUGUGUAAUCCUUUGGGGAAGUAGUGGACAUAGAGGAGAGGUAGCUGUUAAGCCUUGGAUAUAGCUAGGAGGGUAAAUCACUCUAAAAGUUCGUUACUUCACCUAUGUGUCUGGUGUUUGUUUCCAACCAUCCCAAUAGAUUCAUGUGCCUAAGUUAAAAUACUGCAUGUAGUUGAAGAGAUUAACUAAUGAACUGUAUUUCUAUUAUCCUCGCUGCAUAUCCAAACGUACUGUAAAAAUAGAAAAUUAAUUUUUCGUAACUAAAUUGGUAAUUCUUAAAUGUUUGAGCGAAAUAAAUUAGAGAUUAUAAUUAAGUAUAUGCUACAAAAAGUCUAUUUCCACUGAGGACAUAAACUCUCCUAUCGUUCUUUAAGAUUGACAAGGAAUGGCAUAGGUUGUUUGGUGUGUAGAGGAAGUUAAGUUGAUAGGUUGCCUCGCAUGGUGAGGCCAUUUAGUUGAUGGAGACGUGACAAGUGUUAUGAUAAUUUGUUUGACACACUUAGGCCAUUUAGUUGGUAAGGAAUUGAUUGCCUUAAAACAGUUCGGUUUCCAGUAUUAUGAUCACAAGAGUGGUUGGCAGCUUUGAAAGCUAUUCAAUUGUUCGUGAGUAUUUGGGUCUCACUUUUGUAGAAUUAGGGAAAGCUUUAUAAGUGAGAGCUAUUGGAAAAAGGAUUGAAACCUAGGAGUGGAAACCCUUCAAAAACUAUGUGCGUCUCUUAUCGAUUUGAUUCUUUUAGUAAAUAUGGACAUCCCAUAUUUACUAAACUACAGAAUAAGAGUACGAACACAAGGAUCGUAUAGUGGUUUGAACAGUGUUGGCACUUAACUCUGCGUACUCUAAUUCUGAUCCAUCUUUCAACGUGGAUUAACAAUAUCCUAUUGGCUUCUUAUUCUAGUAAAUUAGAAAACUAUAAUUUAAGGAUUAAAAUGAGCUAGACUAGCAAUCUCUACUUUCAAUGAAAGUGUCACGGUGCUAGACAAAACAACUACUGAUUAGUACGAACUUGAAUUAGAUUUCCAUAGCCCCGGUAAAACUUGACGUCAAGUUUGAAUGAUAUUUGUAUAUCAUUUCCAUGAAAAGUCAUCGUUGUUAAUAUACUUACACUAAAAUGUCUAUAAGAACUGUUUUAUCCAUGAAUAUAAUUUUUCAGCAUCAAAGCACAUUACCACAAAUCUCAACAGUUCACCAAUUGUUGGACACCUAUGAGUGCAUUUAUCAGUUCUUGCCUAACUAGUUCUCUGCUUAAGAAUGGUCCAGGUCAGAACCUAUUUUUCUAAAGUGUCUAUGAAGUUAGCUAGAAACUGAGGUGGAUGGUUUCAGCGUGCAUAGGCAAGAUUGGCCAACAAACACUGGGGUUAAUUCGACAUAAUAUUGUAAUAAAGCACAACUAAUGCGACGGCGACAGUCGAUACCGGGGGAAUUAUGUCGAGAGAGACGUAUGCCACGCGUCAACCGAGGGCUGCCGUACCAGGGGAGGAAGCAAUUGCGGAAUGGUCUUAUUAUCACGUCAACAUGCCCUGGCCGUGAAGGAAAUCUCCAUUUGCGAAGGAUUCGUGAGGGUCAGUGUUUUGGGGGGGGUCCUUGCACGUGUCCAAAUGGGAGCUAGUAAACGACGCGGCGUUGCUCUCGAAGGGAGCCUUAUAUGUCCGUCAUCUACUCAGACCUAUUGUAGCUACUUUUUCCAAACGAUGGGUAGCCGUGCCAGUCGGAACAGCUUGCUGCCGCCGAUCGGUCCUCCCAUUGGAAGGAUCGAAAGGUGAACCGAUUUGGAUUUGUCGUCCCCAAAGGAAGAGAGGUGAGUGAGAUGAAGAGGCUAAAACAUAAAUAACUUAUCAUGAAUUAUUAUGUAAAUCGAAAAAUUAUUCCAAAUUGUAGAAGAUAUUAAUCGUGUUAGGCGGAAAUCGGAUUCAAUGGCCUUGGAAACAAAGAGGCUAAGUGGCUUUCUAGUUUAAAACCUAUUAUGCUCUCUAUGUGACCCUUGAAAAGGUAAUGAUAAAGUCAACACAUAUAAUUAAUUGAACAAUGCAAAGUAAGCAACGAUAUCUUCUGACGGAGCUUGGCUGUGGAGAACGAGGUUAAGCGAUGCUUGUCUCUAUCACUUGGGGACGUGAGACGGUUAGCGUAUGUGGGACUUCCCUUUCGUCCCUCGAUCUCUCCUAUUAUCUCUUACCACGCAUCUAGCCGCAGAAUCUUAGACACAGACGGUAGGCUCGUUUAAUUCUAGUUUUUCAUGUGGUGGACAUUGAGGCCAGGAAUGCGGUUCCUUCCGUGUCGUGGUAUCUAUUAAAAGUUCACCAUAUAGAGGAAGAAAAUACGUUUUGAAAAGCUCACUCUUCUAUGAGCGGAGAUACGAGAUCAUUUGUUCGGAUUAUCUGAAAUUUUACUUUCUUUCAUAUUUGAGCACAAUUUCUUCAGCCACGAGAUAAAAGACCUUUUUGGGCUUAUCUUCUAUAUGUUUACUGACGUGGAAAGUUUCUCUCGUACUAUGUAAACUAUUGUCUCCUAUUGAUCGUUGUGUACCUGAUUCUUUAUUUCUCCUUCACUGAGCUUUCAACUCGCGGAUAUUUGCUGCACAAGAGAAGUUCCAUUUCUGAAUCACCUUGCUCUGAUACGCGUAACUCUCGCACAUAUUUUUUGCCGCCAGCACAGCAUCUGGAGAUGCUAACACGUUCAUAAAAUUUCUCAAAUGCAUCGGGGACCAUUGAAAUCCAAAUAAUUAUUGGCUGAAAGAGACGUCAACAACGUGUCAAAGUACUGGCCUCCUAACAUGGGAGGAACGAUAGCAGAAGCGGCCUUAUCUCUCUUCCAUGCCAUUGCUAACAAGGAAACGCCAGAUUUGUGUGACGAUUCAGGCCGGCACGUCACUUUCGCUCUUGCAAGUGGUCAACCGGGAACAAGCCCAUAAGGAGUCAUUUUUCGCCAGAGCAGCCACCAAAUCGCACCCCAACAAUGGCAGCGUGGGCGCCCUCGUUGUCUUCAGCCCUGUUGUGCCUUCUUUUGUUCUCCUACGACGGUCUGGUCAUUGGGCGGGACAGCAGCUUCGCAGCUGUUCGACUUGCGAGCUUGGUGCCUUCCCCUAAUUGCUCUCAGAUCAAAGGUUUACUCCCUCAACCAACUUUUGUGGGACUCGGAACUUUAUCCUAAUUCUCGAGAUUCCUUGGUUGAGUGAUAAUUUUUCUAGCCCAAUUUGCCCUCUUACAUCGGGAUGUACAUAAAACUCUUAUGUCAUAGAAACAUUUCGAUAAACUUAUUUAAUCAAUGAGUAUUCGUCUGAUCUCUCAUUCUGUUGCAGUCCGCAGCCACAGCACUAGGCAGAUAGUCCAUCGUUACGGUCCCUGCGCAGCCAAGUCUGUUAGCAAACCCAGCCACCUUCAAGCUCUCGCCCAGGAUUUCCUGCGAGUCGUUUCAUUGCAGGAAAUAGUUUCUGGCGUCUACCAUGGAAACGAUACAUUUCUUGGAAGCCAAAUCUCCAUCCCGGCGAGGAGUGGCCUGUACCUCGGCACCGGCAAUUACGUCAUUACUGUCGGUUUUGGCACCCCGACGAGGAAUCAGACAGUCGUUUUCGAUACCGGCAGCAGCGUGAACUGGAUCCAGUGUAAGCCGUGCACUAUAAGCUGCUACCCGCAGCAGGAACCGUUGUUUGAUCCUGACGUCUCGUCUACCUAUCGUAAUGUGACCUGCUUGGCUCCCGCAUGCCUCGGACUUAGCAGAAGCGGUUGCUCGGGUACUACCUGCCUAUAUGAGGUGACAUACGGUGACGGAUCCUCAACCGUCGGAUUUCUCGCCACGGAUACUUUCACGCUGACGUCCACCAACGUGUUCAACAACUUCCUGUUUGGGUGCGGCGAAAAAAACCUGGGGCUGUUUGAGGGGGCCGCCGGGCUGAUCGGGCUCGGACGCAGCCCCUUCUCGGUUAAUUCACAGCUGGCCAGCAGCCUCGGCGAUACCUUCUCCUACUGUCUCCCUUCCACAAGCAGCUCCACCGGCUACCUCAACAUCGGCAAUCCGUUAACAACUACCGUUGGGUACACGCCGAUUCUUACAGAUUCACGCGCGCCGACCCUCUACUUCAUUGACCUUAUUGGAAUUACCGUAGGGGGGAUACGGCUUCCAUUGUUGCCGACCGUCUUUCAAUCAGUCGGGACAAUCAUAGACUCGGGGACGGUGAUCACACGCCUACCCCCAUCGGCGUACAGCGCACUUCGGACAGCCUUCCGCGCCGCCAUGACGCAGUACCCACUAGCUCCUGCGGCAAGUAUACUUGACACUUGUUAUGACUUCCGUAACGCGGCGACUGUGACAUAUCCGGUGAUCAGACUACUGUACACUGGUCUCGAGGUCACUCUCCCGGCUACAGGGGUGUUUUACGUCAUCAACUCCGGGCAGGUCUGCCUGGCGUUUGCUGGGAAUUCGGACUUUACCCAGAUCGGCAUCAUCGGCAACGCUCAGCAAAGAACGUUUGAGGUGACGCAUGACAACAUUGCAAAAAGGAUCGGGUUCUCCGCUGGGGCAUGCGGCUAAUUGACUCAGAGGAAAUUUGAGUGUCUUCAGGUCGGGAAUUAACUCGACGUCAGUUCCUUUUGUUUAUUUGAACUUAUGUUAAUUGACUCAUAAUUUUUACACUUUUCCUUCUGCAUGUUGUAAUUAUUUCAAAAUGAUUUUCUGCAGUAGAUAAUUCUGUUUCAUGGUAUGUUCAUGGAUUGACAACAUUUUGUUUAGCAAGUCAAUGUGAUCUUCUUGAAGAAAUAUGCUCCAGGCUGAAGAGAAAGUGGGGAUGGUGGACUGGCAUGAAAGGAAUUAAUGUUGUAGUUGUAUCUGCUGGCAUAUGAUUCCGUGAAGAAAUGGUAGCAGCUCUAUCGGUGGGGGACGAUGGAAGAAAUAAGGAGCAUACAUUGGUGAAUUACUUUUUAAGAAGAUAAUUUGACCUCUUGCUUAAUUUGUUUUGACUGAAAAAAUGUUAUUGACUUUCCCAUCUGUUAUGGUUCAAUAUGAGUAAGGACUGAAUUGGCCUUUAGUCAUACUCAACUUAUUAAUCAUCACAUGGCACAUUUGGCUAACAUCAAAGCUGGUGGAUGAUUUAAGAUUAAUAAUUGAUAGCCCUACAUGAUGCAAUUUAGGAUAAUCAAAGAUAAAAUUUUUAUUACUAAUUUAUAAUCAACUUAUAGACAUGUAUAGGGUAGAAUUCAAGUUGAUCUAGGAUGACGAGGUCAUCCACAAGAGAAUAAAUUAAAGAAAAAUCAAGUUAAUGAUUAAAAAAUUAUCAAUCAGAAUAAUAUCAAUGGGAAGAAUAGGUGAAAUGUGAUUUGAUUUUUUUUUAAUUCUAAAGUACAAGGAAAAUUAAUACUUAUUUUUGUUGAUGUCCUUGGGCAUAGAUUUCGAUAUUACAAAAUAUAUGAGAAAAUAUAUAAUUCAUGAUUGACAUAAUUCACAUUAAGUGAAAUGAUGAAGAGGUGAUGUGCCACACAUGGAUAAAUAUUUUUUAGAAAAUAAAUAUUUAAUAGGUAAAUGAUGGUUAUGUUUUUAAUUCAUAUAUCUAUGUUUAUUUAACCAGUUAAGUGCAACUAUUAUUUAUUAGUCAUAUAAAUCAUUAAAAGAAAAAGAAAAAGGUUCAAAAUAUCAAAUGAACUCUCAUGAGUCUCGAAUUAAAAAUCUAGAUGAUGACACGUCAAUUACUUAUGUGUAGAAAAUGACAACUUAAUACUCGAAUUUGAAGACAAAGUUAACAAAACAGUUGUUCGUCUAAGAAAGAAAAAUCUUCAGUUUGAAUUUCAAAUUGAAUGAACUAGAGAAUAGAAAGAUAUUGAAUUUGUAAUGGUCAAAGAUCGUUGCUAUGUGUUCUAGAAAAUAGUAAGUAUUCAAAUUAACCUUUUAACUUUGUCUCUCGAGCAAAUCAUUAAAAUUUGUUAGAGGACGAUGCCCUACAAGUGUAGGAAGUAAAGGAGAUCAAAAACAAUGAUUCAACUUUGAUCUACAAUGAGCUAUCUCUCUCACAAUCAAGAUUCAUCACUGUUGAGCAUCAACUAUGAGCAGACUACAUCAUACUUCUUAUCAACGAUUAAUGAUUAAGAAAAAUUUUGAAUCUUUUUAUAAUACUCUUCAUUAAGCUUAAGGUAAUUGCGUGGUGAGUGAAGAGUGAGUUUGGGUAAAGGCACGAGUUGCUCUAAACCUUGUUUAGCCUAAAAGGGGCUAGAUCUCUACGGAGGUCGAACUUGAGGUGUUGGGCAACUAAUCCUAUUAAAAUUAGUGUGUAUUUCUGAGAGAAAUAGUGAAAUAUCGAUAGGAAAGAUCUUCUGAGACUAGAAGUAAUUAGGUGAGGGGUGAACCAGCAUAAAAAGCUCUUGUUUCAUAGUGAGACUCUACUAGAAGAGAGAGAAAGUCAUUUUGCAUGUAAAUAAUUAUAUAGAAUUGUGUUAACCUGUGUGUUGACACAUCCAGCAUUUGGGAAGAAAAUGUGAGAUUUUUAAAAUACUAAUUCACCCCCCCUCUUUUCGAGGAGGCUCUCUAUCAGGUCCUAAGGUAAUUAAGUGGUGAAUAGAGAGUGAAUUUGGGCAAAGACAUGAGGUGCUCUAAGCCUUGUUUGGCUCGGAAGAGGUUGGAUCUCUAUGGAGGUUGAACCUAAGGUAUUGGGCAGCUGAUCCCAUUAAAAUCAGUAUGUAUUUUCGAAGAAAAUAGUGAAAUACUAGUAGAACAGAUCUUUUAUGAUUGGAAGUAACUAGUUGAGGGACGAAAUAGUACAAAAAGCUCUUGUUUCAUAGUGAGAUCCUGCCGUAAGUAAGAGAAAGUCAUUUUGCAUGGAGAUAAUUGUAUAUAGCUGUGUUGACACAUCUAGCAUCCGAAAAGAAAAUAUGAGAUUUUGAAAAUAUCAAUUCACCCCCCCUCUUUGUAUUUUGUCUAGCCUCUAAAUCUUUCAAUUCUAUCACAUCAAUCAUAAAAUCUAAUUUUCCUUGAGAAUGUGGCCGAUCUAAGUGUCUUAGAGAUCAAGCAUACAUCAAGGGAAUUAAUGUUGAGGGAAUGAAUAUAAAACCUAUCCUAAAGAACUCUAAACAUGGAUGCUAAAAAUCUUAAAUCCUAUUUUUCCAAUCUACUUAUCUCUUAGAUAAGUCUAUGUCACUUAUAUGGUCAAUAAGAAAAAAAGAUAUACUAAAAAGAGAAGGAACUAAGAAGUAUGAAUUUAAAUGAAUAAACUAAAAAAAUUAUAAAAGAACAUAAAAUAAAAAAUAAAAAUGCCUUCUCUAUGUCCAUUAGAGUACUUCAACUGGAUCUACCCAUUGAAGUUCUUAGAUUGGUCCAUUUGGUGAAGUUUUUGAAGUCUUCCUCUUCUCCUUAUGUGAAUGUCCCUCUCCUUUGUAGGUGGAUUCCAUGCUCAUGAAAUUUUUCCCCUUUUAAGGACUCCUUAAGCUGAAAAUUAAUCUUAGUCCUUAAUGGUCUUGGAGGUAUUAUGGGGCCUUGGAUCUUGGGGUGAUCGGCCGCUGCCUUAAGUCAGUCCCCUACUUCUUUUAGGGCAACAUCAUUAGGGAGGAUCCUAGCCCUUCAUUUGGAUGGUUGGGAUCCUCUCUUUACCCCUCUUUUAGAGGGAAAGGGCAUGCCCAAGGGAAGGUUACACUUGCCCUCCUUUAUUAUAGGGAAGGUUGUUGGACAAUUUCUACUGAGUCCUUGGCCAUUAUCAACAUACAAUUGAAUUCAGUAAUGAACCUCCUAUAGAUUAUAUGAAUGCCAAUUAACUAUGAUCCACUGAAUCUAGUGAAUGAAACCUCAAUCUCACUCUCUAAUGAAUUUUAAGGAAGAUAUAUAUGUUGUAUUAAUUAUUAGUUGGUUGAGAGUUCAUAAAAUGAUGGGAAUUUCGUAUAUGAACAUUUCGUAUAUGACCUGGCCCAUGGGACGAACCAACCCUGAGUUAUCUUUUUUUUUCUCUAUUCAGGAUUCCCUUGGGAUUGGCCCAUCACAUCGAUAGGGGUUCCCUGAGUUGGAGAGCGGACCCUCAUACACUUUAUGUUCGAUAACAAAAGAAUAGGUCCGGUAAAAGGCUUCGUAGUGGACUGCGAAUACUUAUUUUCUACAGUGGCAACUGCGGAAAUCAAUGGAUUUUUGAAGAAAACUGUACUGUGGAAUACCAGUAGCGUGUUAAUUGAAGAACUUUAAUUGAGGUAUGUCCCUCAAGAAAUUAAUAUUCAUAUAUAUAUAUAUAUAUGUAUGGAAGGUCGAACUGAAGUGGAAAGAUAAGCAAUAAGUCAAUAAUGAGAGCUCUGCAUGAGUGUUUGAGUUGUGGACAUUGAUCUCCUAUUGGGUCCUAUUGGGCUUCAUGAGUAUACUAAUCCGAUUCCUCAGUGAGUUUUUUCCCUAAUCGUGUGAUAAUCUUGGGAUGUCAGAGGGUCAGAGGGUCUGUUGUUGGAUGAGUGUUGUAGGAGACAAAUCUCCUGGAAUGAAGAAGAUCUGUAAUGUACUACGGACGUAGGAGGUUCUUUAAGACUACGUAAACCCGGUGUGUUCCAUGUUUCUUUCAGUCGCUCCCUCUCCCUUUCUCAUGAUGUUGUUGGGGAUCAAAGAUGUAGGGCAGUGUGUCGUCGUCAAGGAGAAGUUAUAAACUCUUGUGUAGCCUUCAAAAUAAUUAGGGAGGGAAGAAGUUAAGUUUUGAGGUUUACCUCAAUUAUUCCGCAAGGAGAGGUCGUAAGGGUCACUUAUCCAUUGCCACCCCGACACGCCACUGCCUCCUUCCGUUCACCAGUCGUCCACCACCGUCAUCCUCCAUUGUUGCGGCCUUCGUCUGCCACCGCCUUUCACACAGUCACCGUCUUCAGCCACCGUCGGCCGUCAGUAUCUACUGUUCGUCCGCCACCCAUUAUCGCCAUCGUCAUCACCGGUCGCUGCCACCACCAUCUGCCAUCAUCGUCCGCCGCAGCUGCCACCAUCACUGCCUCCGCCUCUGCCGUCCGCUGCCACCUUCUGCCCUAUUGCUGCCGCUAUCAACUAUCAUCACAAUCCGCUGCUACUGCCACCAUCCUUGCUUCUAUCUCCAUCCGUUUUGCCCUCUUCCCAUUCCGCCGCAUUUGCUGCCUUGCUUUCUCCAUCCCCACAACCCAUUAAUUUCCUCCCACCAGUUACCAUUUAAAGCCUCAGUUCAUGGUAUCACGAACCACUAGAGUGAACCAGUCUGGUUCAGCCCAGCCACAAUGCCGACAUCUGUCCAGCCUAAACCGGCUAGAGCCCUUGGCUGACCAACCUGUUCUGCUAGUGCCAACCAUUUUGACAGCCUGGUCCACACCAGUCAUUCAUUUAGUUUAUCUGGUCAACGGUCAAUGGUCUACGGUCAACAUUAACUCAACUAUUCUCAACUGGGUUCUAGCUUUAACCCAUGUUUCUCGACCACUAAGUUAUUUAUUCUGGUGACAAAAUUAUCUCCAAACCCCUUUUAUCUAUAUAUUAGACUAUUUUUUCAUUGAUUUUAUCUUAAAAUAUUGUCGUUGUAUGAUCCAUAGAUAUGUUCACUCAUUGUCAAAGUUGGUGGUUAGUGAAGGGUGACAACCCAUUUGAUUUGUAUCUUAUCAACUUAUUAAUUGUGGAGAACCUUAAUCAUUUAUAACUUAUCAAUUGGGAAGAUCUAUUUGUUUGAGAAUCUUGUAUGAUUAGACUAGUCUUAUCAUAGCCAACCUUGUAAUAUUUUUAAACUCAUUGUUCGAGUCAAGUAUAGGCACUUGUCUAAAGUAAUAUUUUCACUUCAUCAUCUCGUCUUGCAUUAGAUGUGUUAUGCAUCAGAUUUGUAUUGUGUAGGAAGGGAGAAACAAGGUCACUAAGACCCCUAACACUAAGCACAACGUUGGAAUGGUGGCCUCACUCUUACUUUUCUCCUCCACUCAGUUGUGCUACUUUCGUACCCCUUCCACUGUUGAUACUACGGUGGGCACAAAACUGUUUAGAUUUUUGAACUAGAAACAUUUUUCAACUGGAAAAUAUUUUUGGAUUAGAAAACUGUAGACAAAUUUUAAUACCUAAUUUCAGCAGUAUAAAUGUCUUAAAUCGUUUGAUUUCUAAAUGCAUCCCAAUAAGUUGCUUGGAUGGCACGUCUCAAUGACACUUGCUAUCACAGUUAGCUACGAUCGAUGCCAGGAGAAGCCCACACUAUGAACGACAGCCCACUUGGGGCUUCACAUUCUGGUCCAGCUGGAACAAGUGACAGCUCUUUUUCAAGCCUGCUUUCCAAGCCGUCGAUUAUGGCCUGAAUCCAUAGUGUCGCACACAGUUUGAUGCAUCAAUAAGAAUUCUCCACUUUUCCCAUUCUACAUAUGUCACGACUGGAUUCAGUUGUAAGCAGUAUUUUUGAACGCAUGCUUUUCUCGAUAUGAUUUAUGCAAAUAGUCUAUAAUGAUGCAAAUAUGUAGAAUACUUUUCAUUUGACGAUCAAGAAAAUAUUUAUAGGUAUAUGAAUGUCAACUACUUAGGUAGGCCGGCGAUUCAACCAUGGUAUUAAUCGUUACUUGAAUUUUUAAUUUAAAAUUCAAGACUAGAGACAAAAGUAUAUCAGCAUUUUCUUUGUUUCAGUGGCUGUUCCCCAGAGACAUGUCGAAAGAGGUAGUUUGUGGGAGUAUUAAUGGUUGGGAUUGGCAGAGCUGUUCUCCUCCUAAACUUCCGUAGCUGACCAUGACGUUAGUAUGAGGCUAAUUUACUUGAAGUUCAGUAGAAAAUUUCUGUAAAAGACCAUUUUUAUUGUAAUUACACCAAUUAACUGAGAAGCUGCCAAUGAGGGUCAGUUGAAAACGUUCAGUGAUAUUAGCAGACUUGCUUUGAUUGUCUCUUUUUGAUAUCCAAACAGACAACGAGAACAGGAACCAUUUUGAUGGAUAGCAUCGACAGCAUAGCCUAUCAUGUAACCUGAAGACUGCAGAGAUAGGUGAAAACGAUGACUCAGAGAAAGAGAGAGAAAGAAAGAAGGGUAAUGGUCGCUCCUGGCGAUAGAGUGAGAAAACGGCGCGCGGGUUAGAUAAAAGGGCGGAAGACUUUUCAGAAGCGUUGCUGGGGAUGGCUUUGGACCAAUGGUAGCUCAUUAACAGUACGGAAAGAGGUGAACUUUGGCAAGCAAGAGGGUCAACCAAUCCUGGCGGGAGCACUCAAAGAACACCAGUGUACGCGUCAGUGUGAUUCGCUUCAACACGUAUCUCAAAUUUUGGCCAGUCAUGGCACUGCAGCUACACCGGCGUGAUUCGCUUCCUUAUUUACUGUUACUAAAUGAAUGAAUCAUAAAUCUAAAUAUGAGAUCUAAUAGUCCUGUGUUGUUGUUUGUCACUUUAACAGAAAAUUUCCAUUCAAGAGCUAUUUCCAUCACUAAAGACAUUUCUCUGAAAAGAAAGGAACUGUUUUACUCUGUUCUCGAUAUGAUCCAAGGGACUUGAUUGGCUGGUUUGAUAACUAAAGUUUUCAGGGUUCUGGCACAAUGCCUGGGACUCUGGACUUUUCUCGACGUGGGUAGUGAAUUACAGAAGAGGUCUAGUCUUGGUUUUGCUUGAUUAAGCCUGCACGGAUCUUAGCGCAUUCGAACCCCACGAUUACGCUUGUGGGGGAAGGAUAAAAACAAAUUAUCAACCAGAUGUAUAGGAUCUCUGCGUUCAGAUAUUCCUAUCUUGACGUUCCAAACGUUUUUACGAGAAUAUUGUUAACUCUAAAUAAGGUAGAACCAUUUAUUCGUCCGGAUUUGAAAAUAAUUCCAUAUCAUUGUUCCAAGAAUUUUCCGCACAUCCACUGAUUUGACCGCAUUUCUCUAUCCUCGGUACAAGACGGAAGGUUCGCAUUUAAUUAUUUUGGGCCCAGAAUGGCUUAUUUGCGCCGCGUUUGCACCGGCAUAAUAACUUAACAUCGCUAACGCGAAGUAGACUUCGAAGUCCAAAAAAUAUGCAUUGAGAAUGGCUUGCGCAAGGUAGUCCGGAGGUACCGUUGCCCGAGACGAAACAAGUCAGAGAUGCCCUUUCAGAACUGAGGCCGAAGGAUUUGAUUGUGCCUUUUAUCCAAAUCGGAACAAGUUAAUGCGAUGGCGUCCUCCUAGAGGAGUUCGAUCUGUACCUCGAAUCCUCCGCCCAACAGCGGCUCCUACUGUUCUCCAAGGGACUCCCAAUGGGAACAUGUUGAUGCCGCCGGACACUCCUUCCCACCCGAAAGAUUCCGAGCUAAACCAGAUUUUAUUGAUCUCGCUGGCAAAUAGAGAAAUAGGAAGAGGGAGAAAGCCUGAAAGUGACAGAGGGAGGGAGAUACAUGUAUAUAUAUAUUUAUAUAUAUAUAUAUAUAGAUAGAUAUAUAUAUAUAUAUAUAUCGAGAGAGAGAGAGAGAGAGAGAGGNNNNNNNNNNNNNNNNNNNNNNNNNNNNNNNNNNNNNNNNNNNNNNNNNNNNNNNNNNNNNNNNNNNNNNNNNNNNNNNNNNNNNNNNNNNNNNNNNNNNNNNNNNNNNNNNNNNNNNNNNNNNNNNNNNNNNNNNNNNNNNNNNNNNNNNNNNNNNNNNNNNNNNNNNNNNNNNNNNNNNNNNNNNNNNNNNNNNNNNNNNNNNNNNNNNNNNNNNNNNNNNNNNNNNNNNNNNNNNNNNNNNNNNNNNNNNNNNNNNNNNNNNNNNNNNNNNNNNNNNNNNNNNNNNNNNNNNNNNUAUAUAUAUAUAUAUAUAUAUAUAUAUAUAUAUAUAUAUAUAUAUAUAUAUAUAUAUAGAGAGAGAGAGAGAGAGAGAGAGAGAGGGGGGGUAAGACCGCCGGAGAGAUAGAAAGGAGAGCGACAGAAGAGAGAUACAUAUUUAUAUAAACAUACAGAAAGAGAGAGGAGCAACGUUCCUGCCCGACGGACGACUACUUUUGCCGACAUAAGAGAUGAGUGGAUGGCGGUUCAAAGAGAGGGCGAGGGAGGUAGAAAGAGACGGGUUAACAAUGUACAAAUUAUGUUUUUUUAACCGUUUUAGUUUUGAAUAGAUGCAAAUCCGAGACAACGGCCUAGGUGACGAGGCCCUACGAAGAUUCGCGGAUGUAAACGAUUUGAAAUAUCAUAAUGAUGAAACAAACUUAUUUAAAUAGUCAGAUAACCGGAAGAAACAAGCUUCUCCGAAGAGACUUAAUCAUGGAUCGUAAAUAUCUUAGUAUUUAUCUCGUAGUGCAUUUUUCUAAUGAUUCUCCAGUGCUCCACACAAACCUAAUGAACGUACUUUGACAAAUUCCUCUGUCAUCUCUCUUUCGCAUGAUUGCCUACUCUUCUCCCUUGUUAGAACAAAGAUUUGACUCUACCGCGCUUAUUUGCACCAUUUUUCAUAAUAUUCCGCGACGGAUGCGAAUCAUGAUCACCAAUUUAGAUGAGACCUGUCAUUUUCCUCGAGGAAUAUGGGAAUCGAAGCAAUUAUGAAUUGAGGUAGACAUGAACAGAUCAUCGACCCAGUGGCUGAACAACUGGGCUUAUCCAUUGAAUAUGCCUUUAAUGCCGUAGAAGACCAGAGUUAUUGGAGGGCUCACGGUGAAACACCAGUUCUUUCAUUGGUGGAAGUUCAAUGGGAAAAGCUUAUAAAUAGUAUUUCCUCCCUCAGAGUCUACGCCAAGCCGUAGCACAACGAUGGUAUCACGAUCGUACCUCGUCUUUGCCCCCCUGUUAUGCCUGCUUUUGUUCCCUUUGGGCGGGUACGCCCUUGUGGGCAGCCUCAGUUUUGGAAAAGUUCGUAUAGGGAGCUUGGUACCCUCCCCCGGUUGCUCUGCCUCUAAAGGUUAUUUCCCGCUAUCGGAUUUUGCAGAUGCUCACUGAACUUUCCUUAAGCUAUUGGAUCACCUUUAUCCAAUAUUAUUUUUACUGGUUAAUUUCUAUUUCCGCUAAUUAUAUAUAAAUUCACGACUCUAGACUUUGCAUCUAUUGCAGCCCGCAGCAGCAGUUCUCUCAAAAUAGUGAACCGCUUCGGUGCGUGCUCAAGCAAGUCCUUCAGCAAGCAAAACCUCAUUAGUGCACUUGCCCAUGACUCCCUUCGAGUCGAUUCGAUCCAGGCAGCCGUUGCGGGAGUCCCUCUUGUCAAUGAUUCAAUACUGCUUGGGUCACAGGUCUCUAUCCCGGCAAAGAGUGGCCUCUAUAUUGGCACGGGUAACUACGUCAUCACUGUUGGCUUCGGCACUCCAACGAGAAACCAGACAGUCAUCUUCGAUACCGGCAGCAACGUGAACUGGAUCCAGUGCAAGCCUUGCGUGGUAAGCUGCUACCCGCAGCAGGAGCCGUUAUUUGAUCCCGCCCUCUCGUCUACCUAUCGUAAUAUCACCUGCACGGCUCCCGCGUGCCUCGGACUUAGCAGCAGAGGUUGCUCGGGCACCACCUGCGUCUAUGGGGUGACCUACGGCGACGGAUCCUCUACCGUCGGCUUCCUCGCCACGGAUAGCUUCACGCUGACAUCCACCAACGUGUUCAACAACUUCAUAUUUGGGUGCGGCCAGAACAACAAGGGGCUGUUCCGGGGGGCCGCCGGGUUGAUCGGGCUCGGACGCAGCCCCUACUCGCUGAAUUCUCAGGCGGCCAGCAGGCUGGGCAAUAUCUUCUCCUACUGUCUCCCUUCCACAAGCAGCUCCACCGGCUAC
rnacentral:lncRNA from 1 species